ACUUUGGUUUUCGUUGACUAAAUUAAUGAGUCUUCAAAAAAUUCAUAUUUUGCUACGCGGUUUUCUUUCGUUAGCAAAGAGGUAGAGAGUUUGCCCAAAAAAAAAAAAAAAAAGAGAGAGGAGAAGAGGGAGAGGGAAAUAGAGAGAGAUGAAAAAGAAGAAUCAGCCAAAUUUGAGACUUGUGUUCUUGCUACUAGUGGUUAUCUUGGUCUCCUGCUCUAUCGACCGUGCUCUUGCUUCUCCACAAGAGUUAUUGCCAUUAACCGGAUAUCGAUGGAGAGUAAAGAUGAUACAAUCACAACCAUCAAGAAGUAAUCCAAGUAGAGGUCGAAGUAUCAGAGAUGGUCCCGGUCAUGGCUAUUAUAUUCCAAAGCCGCCACCACCACCAUUAUUGUCACCAUUGUCAUCACCAUUACAAUCAUCAUCGUCAUCACUAGCCCCAUCCUCAAUGCCAUUCUCAUCGCCGUGAUACCAAGAAACUCGGUAAAUUACUUUUAAUUUCACAACAUAUAAAAUGGUGUUAAUUAUGUUAUGUACUAAUACUAUCAUAGCUACGUGUUCUGUUACUAAAAUAUUUGUUUAGUUGGUGUGUAAAAGAUAUAAUUUUCAA